rnacentral:rRNA from 1 species
UACGGGGGGGGCAAGCGUUGUUCGGAAUUACUGGGCGUAAAGGGCUCGUAGGCGGCCAACUAAGUCAGACGUGAAAUCCCUCGGCUUAACCGGGGAACUGCGUCUGAUACUGGAUGGCUUGAGGUUGGGAGAGGGAUGCGGAAUUCCAGGUGUAGCGGUGAAAUGCGUAGAUAUCUGGCAGAACACCUGGGGCGAAGGCGGCCGGCUGGGCCGUCCCUGACGCUGAGGCGCGAAGGCGUGGGGAGCGAACGGG